rnacentral:rRNA from 1 species
UUAAGCAAAGAAGAGCGCAGGGUGGAUGCCUUGGCACUAAGAGCCGAAGAAAGACGUGAUAAGCUGCGAAAAGCUGCGGGGAGAUGCAAAUAAUCCUUGAUCCGCAGAUGUCUGAAUGGGGAAACCCGGUACGAAGAACUCGUAUCAUCCAUACGCCAAUCCAUAACGUAUGGAGGGGAACCCGGUGAACUGAAACAUCUAAGUAGCCGGAGGAAGAGAAAGAAACAUCGAUUUUGUUAGUAGCGGCGAGCGAAAGCGAAAGAGGCCAAACCGGAGUGCGUGCACUCCGGGGUUCGGACCGCAUUUAAGAUUCAGUGAUUCUAGCAGAAAGGUUUGGGAAAGCCUGCCGGAGAGGGUGAAAGCCCCGUAAGCGAAAGGAGAGCUGACUGAGCGGGAUCCAGAGUACAUCGAGACACGAGAAACCUUGAUGGAAUGAGCGGGGACCACCCCGUAAGCCUAAAUACUACUUAGUGACCGAUAGCGCAUAGUACUGUGAAGGAAAGGUGAAAAGGACCCCGGGAGGGGAGUGAAAGAGAACCUGAAACCCUGUGUUUACAAGCUGUCGGAGCACUUUAAAUGUGCGACGGCGUACUUUUUGUAGAACGGUCCGGCGAGUUAUGGCAUGUGGUAAGGUUAAGUACUUCAGGUACGGAGCCGAAGCGAAAGCGAGUGUGAACAGCACGUAAGAAUCGCCUGCCAUAGACCCGAAACCGGGUGAUCUAUCCAUGUCCAGGAUGAAGCUGCCGUAAGAGGUAGUGGAGGUCCGAACACACAUCCGUUGAAAAGGGUGGUGAUGAGGUGUGGAUAGGGGAGAAAUUCCAAUCGAACCCGGAGAUAGCUGGUUCUCCUCGAAAUAGCUUUAGGGCUAGCCUCGAUUUAGUCUUAUGGAGGUAGAGCACUGAAUUUCCGCGGGGGCGUCAAAGCUUACCAAAGAAUAUCAAACUCCGAAUGCCAUGUAGAUGAUGAACGGGAGUCAGACUGCACGAGAUAAGUUGGGCGGUCAAAAGGGAAAGAGCCCAGACCUUCAGUUAAGGUCCCCAAGUGCGCGUUAAGUGGAAAAGGAUGUGGGAUUUCGAAGACAACCAGGAUGUUGGCUCAGAAGCAGCCAUCCAUUCAAAGAGUGCGUAAUAGCUCACUGGUCGAGAGGUCCUGCGCCGAAAAUGUCCGGGGCUGAAACGCGCCACCGAAACUAAGGAACCGAAAGGUUGGUAGAGGAGCAUUGCAUGCGGAACGAAGCAGUACCGUAAGGAGCUGUGGACUGCAUGGAAGAGAGAAUGCCGGAAUGAGUAGCGAGAAUAAGGUGAGAAUCCUUAUGGCCGAAUAUCCAAGGUUUCCAGAGUAAAGCUGAUCUGCUCUGGGUAAGUCGGGGCCUAAGGCGAGGACGAGAGUCGUAGCCGAUGGACAACAGGUGGAGAUUCCUGUACUGCGGUAUGACAGAACUGUGGGGACACGUAAGGAAAGCGGAAGCCGGGAAUGGAAAGCCCGGUGCAAGCGGGGUACCAGUCACUUUGGCAAAUCCGGGUGGCAAUGGGAAGCCGUGAUGCGGAGUGAAAUAAAGUAACGAAGUCCGUGAGCCAUGCGUCAAGAAAAGCCGCUAUCGUUUAUACCGUACCCGUACCGUAAACCGACACAGGUGGAUGAGGAGAGAAUCCUAAGGCCGGCGGAAGAAGCAUUGUCAAGGAACUCGGCAAAAUGGCCCCGUAACUUAGGGAUAAGGGGUGCCUGGGAAACCAGGCCGCAGAGAAUAGGCUCAAGCAACUGUUUAGCAAAAACACAGGUCUAUGCGAAACCGAAAGGUGAGGUAUAUGGGCUGACGCCUGCCCGGUGCUGGAAGGUUAAGAGGAGAGGUUAGCGCAAGCGAAGCUUUGAAUUUAAGCCCCAGUAAACGGCGGCCGUAACUAUAACGGUCCUAAGGUAGCGAAAUUCCUUGUCGGGUAAGUUC